rnacentral:rRNA from 1 species
UACGAAGGGGGCUAGCGUUGCUCGGAAUGACUGGGCGUAAAGGGCGCGUAGGCGGAUGGCACAGUCAGAUGUGAAAUUCCCGGACUUAACCUGGGGGCUGCAUUUGAUACGUGUUGUCUUGAGUUCGGAAGAGGGUCGUGGAAUUCCCAGUGUAGAGGUGAAAUUCGUAGAUAUUGGGAAGAACACCGGUGGCGAAGGCGGCGACCUGGUCCGACACUGACGCUGAGGCGCGAAAGCCAGGGGAGCAAACGGG